UCCUGACUGACCGAUAGUGAACCAGUACCGUGAGGGAAAGGCGAAAAGAACCCCGGCGAGGGGAGUGAAAAAGAACCUGAAACCGUGUACGUACAAGCAGUGGGAGCACGCUUAGGCGUGUGACUGCGUACCUUUUGUAUAAUGGGUCAGCGACUUAUAUUCUGUAGCAAGGUUAACCGAAUAGGGGAGCCGAAGGGAAACCGAGUCUUAACUGGGCGUUAAGUUGCAGGGUAUAGACCCGAAACCCGGUGAUCUAGCCAUGGGCAGGUUGAAGGUUGGGUAACACUAACUGGAGGACCGAACCGACUAAUGUUGAAAAAUUAGCGGAUGACUUGUGGCUGGGGGUGAAAGGCCAAUCAAACCGGGAGAUAGCUGGUUCUCCCCGAAAGCUAUUUAGGUAGCGCCUCGUGAAUUCAUCUCCGGGGGUAGAGCACUGUUUCGGCAAGGGGGUCAUCCCGACUUACCAACCCGAUGCAAACUGCGAAUACCGGAGAAUGUUAUCACGGGAGACACACGGCGGGUGCUAACGUCCGUCGUGAAGAGGGAAACAACCCAGACCGCCAGCUAAGGUCCCAAAGUCAUGGUUAAGUGGGAAACGAUGUGGGAAGGCCCAGACAGCCAGGAUGUUGGCUUAGAAGCAGCCAUCAUUUAAAGAAAGCGUAAUAGCUCACUGGUCGAGUCGGCCUGCGCGGAAGAUGUAACGGGGCUAAACCAUGCACCGAAGCUGCGGCA
rnacentral:rRNA from 1 species